rnacentral:rRNA from 1 species
GAAUUCAAGCAUAUUAAUAAGCGGAGGAAAAGAAACUAACAAGGAUUCCCCUAGUAAUGGCGAAUGAAGCGGGAACAGCUCAAAUUUGAAAUCUCCGUCGCCUGCGACGGCGAAUUGUAGUUUCGAGAAGCGCUUUCUAGGCGGAGCCGGCGCCGUCCAAGUUGCUUGGAACAGCACGUCAUAGAGGGUGACAACCCCGUCUGUGGCGGAGCCGGCCGCCCACGAUGCGCUUUCGACGAGUGGGUUGCUUGGGACUGC